AAAAAAUCCGCUUAAAAAAAAAAAAAAACCUUUCUCUCUCUCUCUCAAAAUGGCCAUAUUUGAGAAAAAAAAUGUAGUAGUUUGAAUCACUGGAUAUAGCUGUCGAUCAUUUAAUAUUCAUAUUGUAAAAUGUUAAAAGUUAAUAUUAACUAAAAUUAAAUGAUUUGCGCGCAGCGGUCGCGCGCGCAUCUGUAGACUAGCGCAAGUUAAUUCUCACAUUAUAAUAGUGUUUAAUAGCUCCUAACAGGCUGUGUGACUAUGAGAAGUUAUUACCUCAAAAUGUACGUCAGUAUGCAGUUUUCCGCUCGCGUGCCGAGACAGGGGUAGCUGCAGCCUGGAGCAAUGGGCGUGCCGAGAGGUCUCUCAUUGGUGAAAGGAGUUUUACUGUUUUGGCCAAUCAGCGGUAAAUACACAUUUACGUAAUUUCCUUUAGACAAGAGAAGGUAGCGGCGAUAAGACGUGGUGUAAUUAUUCAUCAUACGUUUAUCUAUACUUUAUAUACCACAAAUAUGAAUAUUAAGAUAGCUUGUUACAAUACGAUCAUAAUUUUUCCUUUGCGUUAUAUCUGGCAGCUUUAGUAAUUAGUUUAUUGUUGUUGACAGACAUACUGUAUGUACAGUGAGACAAAACGAUGAGCGCAUCUGCAUCGAAGCUCUCAGAGCUGAUAGUUUAUAUCUGCGUCCUUUUUGUGCAAUACAGUACAGAAUACAUCCUGUGUCCAACUAAUGCAGAAUAUAUUCAAGUAUCCAACUCACUGAUUGUGAAGAACCCUUUCCAGAGAAAUAUAAAGGAAAUGACUGAAACUUGUGUUGGGGAGGAUUCAGU
ensembl:lncRNA